GACAGAGGGGGCAAGCGUUGCUCGGAAUUACUGGGCGUAAAGGGCGCGUAGGCGGGUCUUUAAGUCAGGGGUGAAAUCCUGGAGCUCAACUCCAGAACUGCCUUUGAUACUGAAGAUCUUGAGUUCGGGAGAGGUGAGUGGAACUGCGAGUGUAGAGGUGAAAUUCGUAGAUAUUCGCAAGAACACCAGUGGCGAAGGCGGCUCACUGGCCCGAUACUGACGCUGAGGCACGAAAGCGUGGGGAGCAAACAGG
rnacentral:rRNA from 1 species